GAUGAACGCUGGCGGCGUGCCUAAUACAUGCAAGUCGAGCGAACAGACGAGGAGCUUGUUCUUCUGACGUUAGCGGCGGACGGGCGAGUAACAAGUGGAUAACCUACUUAUUAGACUGGGAUAACUUCGGGAAAAAGGAGCUACUACUGGCUAAUAUAUCGUACCGCUUGGUUCAAUAGUGAAAGACGCUUUUGCUGUCUCUUAUAGAUGAAUCCGCGUCGGAUUAGCUAGUUGGUAAGGUAACGGCUUACCAAGGCAACGAUGCGUAGCUGAUCUGAGAGGGUGAUCAGCCACACUGGAACUGAGACACGGUCCAGACUCCUACGGGAGGCAGCAGUGGGGAAUCUUCGACAAUGGGCGAAAGCCUGACGCAGCAACACCGCGUGAGUGAUGAAGGUCUUCGGGUCGUAAAACUCUGUUAUUGGGAAAGAAAAGAUGUAUGUUAAUCUAUGCACGUCUUGACGGUACCUAAACAAAAAGCCACGGCUAACUUCGUG
rnacentral:rRNA from 1 species